GACGAACGCUGGCGGCGUGCCUAAUACAUGCAAGUAGAACGCUGAAGGAGGAGCUUGCUUCUCUGGAUGAGUUGCGAACGGGUGAGUAACGCGUAGGUAACCUGCCUGGUAGCGGGGGAUAACUAUUGGAAACGAUAGCUAAUACCGCAUAAUAGUAGAUGUUGCAUGACAUUUGCUUAAAAGGUGCAAUUGCAUCACUACCAGAUGGACCUGCGUUGUAUUAGCUAGUUGGUGGGGUAACGGCUCACCAAGGCGACGAUACAUAGCCGACCUGGGAGGGUGAUCGGCCACACUGGGACUGGGACACGGCCCAGACUCCUACGGGAAGCAGCAGUAGGGAAUCUUCGGCAAUGGACGGAAGUCUGACCGAGCAACGCCGCGUGAGUGAAGAAGGUUUUCGGAUCGUAAAGCUCUGUUGUAAGAGAAGAAAGAGUGUGAGAGUGGAAAGUUCACACUGUGACGGUAUCUUACCAGAAAGGGACGGCUAACUACGUG
rnacentral:rRNA from 1 species